rnacentral:rRNA from 1 species
GAUGAACGCUGGCGGCGUGCCUAAUACAUGCAAGUCGAGCGAACGGACGAGACGCUUGCUUCUCUGACGUUAGCGGCGGGCGGGUGAGUAACACGUGGAUACCCUACCUAUCAGACUGGUAUAACUUCGGGACACGGGCGCUAAUACCGGAUAAUAUUUUGCACCGCAUGGUUCAAAGGUGAAAGACGGUCUUGCUGUCACUUAUAGCUGGAUCUGCGCUGCAUUAGCUAGUUGGUAAGGUAACGGCUUACCAAGGCAACGAUGCAUAGCCGACCUGAGAGGGUGAUCGGCCACCCUGGAACUGAGACACGGUCCAGACUCCUACGGGAGGCAGCAGUAGGGAAUCGGCCGCAAUGGGCGAGAGCAUGACGGAGCAACGCCGAGUGAGAGAUGAAGGUCUUCGGAGCGUGAAACUCUGUUAUGAGGGAAGAACAGAUGUGUAAGUAACUGUGCACAUCUUGACGGUACCGAAUCAAAAAGCCACGGCUAACUACGUG